GGCUGGGGCAGAGCUCUCGUUGGACUCAAGCAGUUCGCAGUUUAACGCAGAAAGCGGAUAUGCAAGCAACCUUAAAGUUGUUCGGGGUUCUGUGAACCAUAGGUACCUUCAAAGAGCUGGCGAGAUGGCCAAAGAAGAAGUUCUUUACAGGACAAGGAGGAGUGACCAAUGAGAGCAUUCCCAGCGAGUGUUCUUGGAUCACAGCAUCAGCUACCUUUGAAAGUCUUUGUCAUUUGUCUGAAGACGUCUUUGGGGAGCAUUGUAAACUUCUACUGUCCAUUAACUGCAGUUUGAGAAGAGUUGGAGGAGCAAGUAUGGAGAGGACAGAAAAGAAAGUAUGGAAGCCAUGCAGCCCUGGAGUCUGAAGCAAGUUUAUUAGGGCAUGUAGGGAACUCCUUUCUAUUCUGGCUUUGGCUAGAGCAGAAACUAUUCUUGGUAAUUAAAAAAAAGUAAGCUAAUAAUUUAAUUAAUCAUUGUAGAGGUAAGAAGUAACAGGAAUAGUUCCUGAGACAGUCUGUGAGAAAGUUUAGCAUGCAUUAUGUAAAAAUAUUCUGUUGCUGUGAGAGUGAAACUCCUGCUCUCUGCUAAAUCCUGAUUGAUUCUCCAGGAAGAGAGCAGGUUAACAUGAUUCAUUUGUGCCUUACGUUGUCAUUCCUCUGUCAUUAUUAAUAUUGGCUAAUGGAGCUCGGAACUCAUCCAUGUGUAGCCUGAACUUGACUGAGCAAGGGGUUGCCUUAUUCUUUCCUGUAACUAGCCCGGGUGUGCUGUUCCCAGGAAGAAAGACUGUGCUGAGCGGAACUCCCGAAUCGAGGUGGCUUUUUUUGAAACAUCAGAGGUCACAGUUCAAAACAGAAAAAGAAAGAUGGAUGAAGGGAGAGGGAGGACAGAAAAGGGAAAGAAUGGCUCAAUCACUGCUUGUCUUGUCAUCAGAAAAGUAUGCUUCUUCAUUACACAAAACGACCAGGUGCUGACAAGAGCUCAGUAACCUCCUAGGGGUGGGGUGUGUGGCAGCAGUUCACCUUGGUAGCUGCAGAAAUUGCUGGCAGUAGUCCCUCCCACAACUUCAACUGGCAGGGACAAGGAAGCUCAGACCCACUAUAAUGAGAUUGACCCCUGUGCUGAAACCUUCACCCCCAAGGAGAUUGCAUGAGGAGGUGGUGCCUUUAAGGGGGAGGGGCUGUGCAUGAUCAUGAAAGAGGAGCCUCAGGAUGGGAUUGGUGCUUUUCAGAGAGAGAAUCCAGAUGUCCUUCUCUCUCACAUGCUCUGGGAAUGCAACAUGACAGUCUUUGGGAACCAGGAAUCAUAGAAACAAAAUCUGGCAGCCAUUCGACCUUGGACUUAGCCUUUAGGACUUUAAAGGAUAAUUUUCUGUUAUUUUAAGCCACUUUAAGUAUUUUGUUACAACAGCUCAAAUGGACUAAGACAGGCAAAAUUACACACUGACACAGAGUAACAGUCUUAAAUUCCAGACCCAUAUUUCCAAAGAGCAAUAACUGAGGAAAGUAUCCCCUGCCAUUUCCUUGGAUGCAGAUGUUUUUGAGGGUGAAUUUUAGUUAGGGACACCAGUACAGACCUCUCACAUCUGUUUCAGAACCCAGCCCCUCUCUAAACAUCUGAAAAUGCUGUAAGUCAAAAAUUGCCACCAGUGAAGAAGAAUUUUAGAAAACUGUACCAGAGGGAAUCCCUGUGAAUUUUCUAGUACAUAUGUCUUCAAAUUUGCCCCUUUAUAGGACUAAUAUGUAUUUUAUAUUAUUGACAACUGAUUCAUUUCUAAAUUAUUGACUUGAACCAUAAAACAGUUUAGUCAUCAGCUCCCCUGGACAAGGGUCACAUAUUUUUGUUUUUUGUUUUAUUGUUUUUGUUUUGUUUAAUACAAAAGAUGGGUAAGAGAUUCAAAAGCAAAGGCAGGCUUCUUCUUUUAGUGUUCCGCCUAGAAAAGACAGGGAUGUGGGAAGGGGAGCAUAGAGAGACAGACAUAAGGAUAGGGCUGGAGCUGGCUCAGUAGUUAAGAACAAUCCUUGCUUUUGCAGAAGACCCAGUUUUCAAUUCCUGGCACUCAUGUAAGGCAGCUCACAAUUGCCUGUAACUCCAGCUCCAGAAACCCAGCAGGCGCCCUCUCCUGACUUAUGUAAGCACCUGCACUCUUUAAAAAUAACCAAAAAAUGAAGCUUUUUCAAAGGUUGUAUGUGUAGAAAGUUGUGGGUACCCGGGAAAAUAGGAUAUCAAGGGAUAUGGACCAAUUGUUGAGACUUGUGUACGGCUCUCCGAGUCCUGGACUGCUGGGUCUGAUCAAAGCACUCAUUUUACACCGUUCUCUGUGUCUCUAGCUCACUCUUCCUCUUCUCCGAGGAGAGGAUGACACCCUGACUUUGACGUGGAUUUCUCUAUAAUUAUGUGCUUCCCUCCUUCCCGAGACUGCACAGUUUGAAAAUGAACCAUGUUCGUGCAUGCAAGGGAGAGUAGAGAAUUAGGUCCAUGAUUCUUGUUACUGCCACCUGUUUGCUGCACAUGCUUUAAAAACAGUUGCAGUCCCAUGGAUACAUCUUUUCUCCCCUCCUGCCCUGCUUCCUUGCUUACUCCACCCACCUCCACCUUCCAGCAAAAGACGUAAAAAUGGAGUAUGAUUACAUCCCAUUUUGUGUUUUGCCUGACAUCACAAUAAAAUGCUAGAUUAGGGAUUGGGAGAUGGCUCAGAGAGUAAAGUAUUUGCCUUUCAAGUAUGAGGAUCUGAGUUCAAACCUCCAGAACCCACAUGAAAGGUGGGUAUAGUUGUACAUGCUUAUGAUCCCAUCCACAGCAAGAUAGAAUGUGGAGACAGCCAGAUCCCUAGAGUUUACUAGCCACUAGCUUAGCAUAUUUGGUGAGGGUCUAGGUCAAUGACAGACCUCCCUCGAACAAAAGGUAGAAGACACCAGAGGAACAACAUUUGAGGUUGUUCUCCAAAGUCAGUCAACAUGAAUAUGGGCAUACACUCAACAAGGCGUCCUAACAGAAGCAUAAGAGCCCUUUUCGCUGCGUGCCCCUGGGUUGGUCUGAAGGCAUUUUACUUCAACGAGUCACCUGCAGGAUUUUUAACAUUAGGAAAGAACAGUUUAUGUCCAGAAAACACAAUCCAGAACUUUUUAGUCCCCACCCCUACCCCACUUACCCUUAUUUUUAAUACGGAGUCUUCCUCUCCAACUUCUCAGUUUAGUGUCUCUGGGUUUCCCUUGCAAGGUCAGUUGGGUCAGAGUUACCCAGGAGGCCACCACUUACCUCCACACUUCCUUGCUUCAACAUCUUUUCCUGUCCCAAAGGCACCAGCUUCUAACUCAGAAGCUUUUGGUGCAGGGGAGGUCUCCCUCCGCUUACACUAAAGCCAGUCAACACUCCUUUCUUCCACCCCAGGAGUGUUUAUCCCACCCCAACUAUACAUAAAAGGAAAAGGCACACACGCGUGUUAUUAAAAUGAACUGUUUAUAUUAUCUCAGUUGAGUCAAUACAUUAUAAUGUAUUAAAAUGGAAAGGUACAAAAUUGAAAUAAAUACUUUCUGAUUCAUGUAUAAAUCUUUUUUUUUUGUCAAGAUGACUUUUAUCGUCAGUACAUGUCACAAGAAAACAUUUAAAACGACACCAAAACAAUCUCUGAAAUCAUGGUGCAUGGAGGAAAAAGGUGAAGAAAACAACUGUUGGCUUCUUUUGGCAUGAGACCUUGAUACAAUUUGGGUUCCCCAAAACCACGUGAAGGGUGAUAAAAUAGAAAUGCUCAAAACUGACUUAAAAAAAUAAACAGGCUUUACAAAACCCUCUUUUUUUUCUGAACCCAGCCACUUCUCUACAUGGUCUGCACUUACAGUAGAUACAUUCAUUAUUGUCCAAGGGAAGACAGCCACUGCCUUUCACUUAAAGAGCUUGGUGGAGAGGCUGAAGGGAUACGCUGCAGCCGAAGAUGAAGAAACUGAGGCACAAAAAGGCCAUCAAUUUUUCUUCAGUCUUUCCUGUGGAUCUGGUGCCAUUCCAAGCAAGGAAAACUCUGCAUCUCUUUCUGAAUCCUUGGACGUCUCCCAUUGUGUGCCUAACUCAACAUUUGCCAUCUAUCUACCUUUCUAUCUAUAAUAUAUUAUACGUACUCUUAUGUAUAAAAUAUAAAUAAUUCUUAGACUCCCACUUA